rnacentral:rRNA from 1 species
AGCGAACGCUGGCGGCAGGCCUAACACAUGCAAGUCGAACGAACUCUUCGGAGUUAGUGGCGGACGGGUGAGUAACACGUGGGAACGUGCCUUUUGGUUCGGAAUAACUCAGGGAAACUUGUGCUAAUACCGAAUGUGCCCUUCGGGGGAAAGAUUUAUCGCCAUUAGAGCGGCCCGCGUCUGAUUAGCUAGUUGGUGGGGUAACGGCUCACCAAGGCGACGAUCAGUAGCUGGUCUGAGAGGAUGACCAGCCACACUGGGACUGAGACACGGCCCAGACUCCUACGGGAGGCAGCAGUGGGGAAUCUUGCGCAAUGGGCGAAAGCCUGACGCAGCCAUGCCGCGUGAAUGAUGUAGGUCUUAGGAUUGUAAAAUUCUUUCACCGGGGACGAUAAUGACGGUACCCGGAGAAGAAGCCCCGGCUAACUUCGUG